ensembl:miRNA
AGGUGAGAGGAUUGCUAAAGCCCAGGAGGUUGAGGCUGCAGUGAGCUGUGAUCACACCACUGCACUCCAACCUGAGUGACAGAGCAAGACCUUGUCUCA